rnacentral:rRNA from 1 species
GUGCCUAAGGUAUGCAAGUCGAACGAUUCCUGUAUCUUCGGAUACAGGGAGUGGCAAACGGCUGAGUAACGCGUAGGAACCUACCCCAAACUCGAGUAUAGCCCCGCGAAAGCGGGGGUAAUCCUCGAUAGCCCGUGAAGUAUUUUACUUCACGGUAAAGCUUUUGCGGUUUGGGAUGGGCCUGCGUCCUAUCAGGUAGUUGGUGAGGUAAAUGCUCACCAAGCCUAUGACGGGUAGCUGGUCUGAGAGGAUGGUCAGCCAGACUGGGACUGCGACACGGCCCAGACUCCUACGGGAGGCAGCAACUAGGAAUUGUGCGCAAUGGACGAAAGUCUGACGCCGCGACAUCGCGUGGAGGAUGAAGGUCUUCGGAUUGUAAACUCCUUUUCUUACCGAACAAGUUCUGAGUGUAGGUAAGGAAUAAGUGCCUGCUAACCACGUGCCAGAAGCAUCGGUAAUACGUGGGGCACGAGCGUUAUCCGGAUUUACUGGGCGUAAAGAGAAGCGUAGGCGGCUCAAUAAGUUUGGUGUUAAAUCUUCCGGCUCAACCGGAAACAAGCACCGAAAACUAUCGAGAUUGAGUCGAGUAGGGAAGAGGGGAAUUCCUGGUGGAGCGGUUAAAUGCGUAGAUAUCAGGAGGAAUACCAAGGGCGAAGGCACCUCUUUGGACUUGUACUGACGCUGAGGCUCGAAAGCGUGGGUAGCAAAACGGAUUAGAUACCCGUGUAGUCCACGCCGUAAACGAUCCCUGUUAGAUGU